AUGCGUCUCUAAACUGCGAGGACUAUACAAACCAUAUAUAUAUAUUUUUGAAUAUCACAAAUUAAAGUACAAAACAAACGUGGAGUUUUUUUUUCUAAAUAUUUUCAAAUGUUAACGGUAUUUUUAACCAAAAUCUUGUCAAACCAUGUUUUACCGAAGUAGGAUAUUUCGAAGGCUUUGCAGCUGACAUUUUGGUAAACAAAACUUAAAUCAAGCUGCAAUUUUAAAGCGCAUAGUUGUAAAUUUUCUGUCAGAAUAAAAUGUGAGAAUGACAGUGAAGCAGGAAUCAGACGGCAACACACAUUUACAACAGCGAGUUGAGCUUGUCCAUAUUGUACCAGACUUAUCAUAUGUUUCCAGGUCAGGCCUGAAGCUGUCGCAAAACAGCGUUAAAGCGUGCAGGCAGUGCGAUAUGCGUCGUGAAAUGAAAUGCCGCACAUGAAAUUAUGAACCUUAUGACAGCGCACGUUCAACACAUUUUUAUGGCUAUACACUGCGAAGAGUUGCAGUCUUUACAGUACAAAUACAAUAAGCCGGACACCUAAUAACACACACUGUACCACAAAGCAGCAGCGUUUGUUAUCGAUUAUUCGAGAGACCUUUCCGAUAAUUACACGUUGCUUGUACUGCAAAAUUUUCAAAUGUUUAUUAUGAAAAAUGAAUCAUGUCUAAAUCGUACUCUCCAUGUGACUGUGUUUCGAUCGUUUCGAUAGUUACACAAUUUAAUCAUGUGGUGAGCUCUUUAAUUCACCAUCGCACAGCUCAGUUUAUAGGUUUGCAAUAAUCCCUCAGCAAAUGCCAGGCAUUUUACAAACACAAAGCGCGGCUGGCUGCAACCCGAUCUGAGAGACCAAUAAACUUUGUAUAAUUUAAUCUCUCCCAAAUACCCCCAACAGCAUCUGCCACAGCACGGCAGCUGAGUUCAUAUUUCCGCCAUCAUCCCGGAAACAUGAUACCCAUACAAAGUAACCAACCACAUAAACAGCUGCAGGAAAAAAAUAGAUCACAUCAUUCAAUUUGAUACAGUCUUCUCUUUGCUUUCGUCUUGUGCCAUGGGAACGUGCAACCAACACGGUCCAAGCGAAGUCAUCUGUGCCAUAAAGUAACAAACACGAAAACGCACACGCGAUAGCCGGACAAACCACGCCUUUCUCCUGCGCCACUAUUGGGUGCUAUAAAAGCUGACCGGCCAAUCGGGUGCUCUCUCGACGAACGGUCGCUAUUGUUACCGAGUGUGGAAAAAUGGCGACUUUGUUUCAUUCUGUGCCCUGCGUUCGUUCGACUGCGCCAGCCAGUGCAACCGUAGUUCUGUUUCAGGAAGGGUGAAAGUUAAUGCAGUAGAAGUUUGUCUUUCAGUAAGUACUGAAAGCACAGCAAAACAAGUCAAGUUCUUGUACCGUGAAGGCGGCAGAAUGAAAACAAAUAAUUAAACAAAUGGUUUGAAGUUGGGCCGCUUAUUGGAUGCUGAAGUAAACAUUCCCACCGUUACCUUACCCAGCAAAGGGAAAAAUCACAGUCACCUGGUGAUUCUAGUCACCUGGGUGACCAUAAGGACCAGCCAAUCACUCAGGAGGAUGUGAGAAUUGUUUCUCUGGUGGGCAGAGAUGCCAGAUUUAUGUAAAAUGCGGUAGAUUUACGAAGUUUGCUUGCGAAGUUUUGUGCCUUUGCACAGUUUGCUUCUGAAAAGGGUAUAAUCCAUUCAAAAAAUAAGGUGUAACAUCAUUAUAAAGUGUAGAUUAAGAAUACACUAACUCUACUUCCAAUAUACUCCUGCAAUUA